rnacentral:rRNA from 1 species
GACGAACGCUGGCGGCGUGCCUAACACAUGCAAGUCGAACGAGAUCCAUGGGAGCUUGCUCCCGGAAGAUCUUGUGGCGAACGGGUGAGUAACACGUGAGAAACCUGCCCUGGAGUGGGGAAUAACUCGGGGAAACUCGAGCUAAUACCGCAUACCCUCGGAUGGUCGCAUGGCCGACCGAGGAAAGAUUUAUCGCUCUAGGAGGGUCUCGCGGCCUAUCAGCUAGUUGGUGGGGUAACGGCCUACCAAGGCAACGACGGGUAGCUGGUUUGAGAGAACGAUCAGCCACACUGGGACUGAGACACGGCCCAGACUCCUACGGGAGGCAGCAGUGGGAAUCUUGCGCAAUGGGCGAAAGCCUGACGCAGCAACGCCGCGUGCGGGAUGACGGCC